GCGCUUGCUGAGCGGACCGCUGACGACCACUCGCUCUCCCCCGACGCCCUCCGCCUCCAUUUCGUCGUCGGUCCCCACGCUCAGCAUCCAGAUCGCAGAUCUACACCACCGCAGCUCGAGAUCGGAGUCCAAGAAGGAGAUCUUUACGGAUCGUGACCAAAAUGGAAGACAAAAGACAAUCGCACUGGGGUCCGCGAGACCGUGGGAGAACUCGUUUGGACCGCCGAGAACGAGGAUGUCUUUCCCUGUAUAAAUUAAUUUUGAUUUA